AACAGGAGCAAGAGAAACUAAAUCUGUUCAAACAGAUGACAUAUCCUCUCUCCCCAUCGAGGCUCCGUGCCAAUUUGAACAAGAAUAUGCCUGUUCACUCCAGCAUCUGAAGUUGGAGAAGCAGAAGAGUUUGAGCUGGGAGUCCUUUGCAAUUGGCUUCCCAGACAGAAGUGACACAGCAGACCCGUUAGUGGAUGACAGAGGAUCAUACGAUAAUGAACAUUUUGCUGACGAUGGAUAGCUGCAUGGUGAUUAUGACAAGGAGGAUCCACAACUUUAGGGUGAGGAGUAUUGCCUUGCAGAGGAGGCAGCGAGUUCCCUCAAGGCUUCAGAAGGAGAGCAAACAGAGCCAUUUGAAAGCCAGGUCCGGUACACUCUGGAUGACUUUCUGAAUACAGAACGUGCCAACAAGGCCCUCAAAUCCCCUCCCAGGACCAA